rnacentral:rRNA from 1 species
AUUGAACGCUGGCGGAAUGCUUUACACAUGCAAGUCGAACGGCAGCACGGACUUCGGUCUGGUGGCGAGUGGCGAACGGGUGAGUAACGUAUCGGAACGUGCCCAGUCGUGGGGGAUAACGUAGUGAAGAUUACGCUAAUACCGCAUACGAUCUAUGGAUGAAAGCGGGGGAUCGCAAGACCUCGCGCGAUUGGAGCGGCCGAUAUCAGAUUAGGUAGUUGGUGGGGUAAAGGCCCACCAAGCCAACGAUCUGUAGCUGGUCUGAGAGGACGACCAGCCACACUGGAACUGAGACACGGUCCAGACUCCUACGGGAGGCAGCAGUGGGGAAUUUUGGACAAUGGGCGAAAGCCUGAUCCAGCCAUUCCGCGUGCAGGAUGAAGGCCCUCGGGUUGUAAACUGCUUUUGUACAGAACGAAAAGGUUUCUACUAAUACUAGGAGCUCAUGACGGUACUGUAAGAAUAAGCACCGGCUAACUACGUGCCAGCCGCCGCAGUAA